GACGAACGCUGGCGGCGUGCUUAACACAUGCAAGUCGAGCGAUGAAGCACCUUCGGGUGUGGAUUAGCGGCGAACGGGUGAGGAACACGUGAAGAAUCUGCCUUCAACUCUGGGAUAACUCCGGGAAACCGGGGCUAAUACCGGAUAUGAGCCUUGGCCGCAUGGCCGGGGCUGGAAAGUUUUUCGGUUGAAGAUGACUUCGCGGCCUAUCAGCUUGUUGGUGAGGUAAUGGCUCACCAAGGCGACGACGGGUAGCCGGCCUGAGAGGGCGACCGGCCACACUGGGACUGAGACACGGCCCAGACUCCUACGGGAGGCAGCAGUGGGGAAUAUUGGGCAAUGGAGGAAACUCUGACCCAGCGACGCCGCGUGAGGGAUGAAGGCCUUCGGGUUGUAAACCUCUUUCAGUAGGGAAGAAGCGAAAGUGACGGUACCUACAGAAGAAGCACCGGCUAACUAUGUGCCAGCCGCCGCCGUAAUAC
rnacentral:rRNA from 1 species